CAGGUUUUUAUCCGAUUUUUUGGGGACUGUUUGGUAACUGUCAACAAGCCGAAUGCAAUCUGUGACUACAAUACAAACAUGAAAGGUGUUGAUCACUUUGACCAAAUGAUCAAAUAUUAUCACUUCACAAGGAAAACACACAAAUGGAUGAAGAAAAUGACCUUUUAUUUUGUCCAAAUGGCUAUCUACAAUGCUUUUGUGAUGUACAACUACUACACAACAGAUAGAAUGAAACUGACAUUACUCCAUUUCCAUGAACAAGUCAUCGCUGCACUAUUGUUGUAUAAGUCUAGUAACUGGCCUGAGGAAGAUGAUGACAUCCCACAUGCUGCUGAUGUCAAUGCCACUGGAGCCAAUGUUGCAACACUAGGACCAUCAACACCCAGAGCUCCAACAGCAGGACCUUCAGGUGUGAGGCGCCCACUAUUCACUUCACCUGUACCUGCAGACUUACCUUCAUCGUCUGAGUCAGAAGACGAGGCUGUGAUUAUCACUAGUGGUGCUUCUGCUGCAACAAGACCCCGUAUUGUGGAUA